rnacentral:rRNA from 1 species
UCAAGCGCGAUAAGGGCGUUUGGUGGAUGCCUUGGCAGUAAGAGGCGAUGAAGGACGUGAUACUCUGCGAUAAGUCAUGGGGAGCUGAGAAUAAGCUUUGAUCCAUGAAUUUCCGAAUGGGGAAACCCACCUGAAACUUGGUUAUUGUUGCCAUAUGGCAGUCAAUAAUCGGGUUAACCAGGUAUCUUUUACCUGAAUACAUAGGGUUUAAGAAGCGAACCCGGGGAACUGAAACAUCUAAGUACCCGGAGGAAAGGAAAUCAACAGAUACUCCCCUAGUAGUGGCGAGCGAACGGGGACCAGCCGAGCCGUGAGAAUGACCAGAAUGGCCUGGAAAGGCCAGCCAUAGUGGGUGACAGCCCCGUAUGGGAAGUUUGAUCGGACGUAUUAAGUAGGGCGGGACACGUGAAAUCCUGUCUGAAGAUCGGGGGACCACCCUCGAAGGCUAAGUACUCCUUACUGACCGAUAGCGAACCAGUACCGUGAGGGAAAGGUGAAAAGCACCCCGACGAGGGGAGUGAAACAGUUUCUGAAACCGGACGCCUACAAGCAGUCGGAGCCUCCUUGAGAGGUGACGGCGUACCUUUUGUAUAAUGGGUCAACGACUUGGUCUAUCUAGCAAGCUUAAGCCGUUAGGUGUAGGCGCAGCGAAAGCGAGUCUUAAAUGGGCGACUUAGUUAGAUGGAUCAGACCCGAAACCAGAUGAUCUAGGCAUGAGCAGGAUGAAGGUUGGGUAACACCAACUGGAGGUCCGAACCCACACCUGUUGAAAAAGGUCGGGAUGACUUGUGCCUAGGGGUGAAAGGCCAAUCAAAUCUGGAGAUAGCUGGUUCUCCGCGAAAGCUAUUUAGGUAGCGCCUCGGACGUAUCCUCCUGGGGGUAGAGCACUACAUGGAUGAUGGGGGCCCACAGCCUUACUGAGUCUAAGUAAACUCCGAAUACCAGGAAGGACUAUCCGGGAGACACACGGCGGGUGCUAACGUCCGUCGUGGAGAGGGAAACAACCCUGACCAACAGCUAAGGCCCCCAAUUCGUGGCUAAGUGGGAAAGCAUGUGAGACUUCCAAAACAACCAGGAGGUUGGCUUAGAAGCAGCCAUCCUUUAAAGAUAGCGUAACAGCUCACUGGUCUAAAUAAGAGGUCUUGCGGCGAAGAUGUAACGGGGCUCAAGCCACGAGCCGAAGCUUUGGGUGUGCAUUUAUGCACGCGGUAGCGGAGCGUUCUGUGAUAUAGAACGCUGCCUCCUUAGUAUCCUCGGAUACAUUGGAGGCAUUGUUCUGACUGUGAAGCCGGGCUGUAAGGCAUCCGGUGGAGUGAUCAGAAGCGAGAAUGUUGACAUGAGUAGCGACAAACAGGGUGAGAGACCCUGUCGCCGAAAGUCCAAGGGUUCCUGCUUAAAGCUAAUCUGAGCAGGGUAAGCCGGCCCCUAAGGCGAGGCCGAAAGGCGUAGUCGAUGGGAACCAGGUUAAUAUUCCUGGGCCAGGAGAUGGUGACGGAUCAUAGAGGUAGUUCGGUCUUAACGGAUUGAUCGGGCUGCUGAGUGGUCCCUGGAAAUAGCCCUCCAUGAGACCGUACCCUAAACCGACACAGGUGGACUGGUAGAGAAUACCAAGGCGCUUGAGAGAACCACAUUUAAGGAACUCGGCAAAAUACCUCCGUAAGUUCGCGAGAAGGAGGCCCCGUUUGUACGCAAGUAUGGGCGGGGGGCACAAACCAGGGGGUGGCGACUGUUUACUAAAAACACAGGGCUCUGCGAAGCCGUAAGGCGACGUAUAGGGUCUGACGCCUGCCCGGUGCCGGAAGGUUAAAAGGAGAUGUGCAAGCAUUGAAUUGAAGCCCCGGUAAACGGCGGCCGUAACUAUAACGGUCCUAAGGUAGCGAAAUUCCUUGUCGGGUAAGUUCCGACCUGCACGAAUGGCGUAACGACUUCCCCGCUGUCUCAAAUGUGGACUCAGCGAAAUUGAAUUGUCUGUGAAGAUGCAGACUUCCCGCGGUUAGACGGAAAGACCCCAUGCACCUUUACUAUAGCUUCGCACUGGCAU